UUGCAAUUUCCAAUGAAUCAAUUGACAGUUGACAGUUAGUCAGGUAACGCUACUUCCUUCCGAAUUCCCUGUACUCUGAACAGUUCCAAUCAACUUACGCUUCAUUUGGGCAUCGAAGCGGAACCCUAAAAUUCUAAGGAAUGCAUACUUCUGUUGAGGGAAUUAAACGUCAGUUAUCGUCAUGGAUGGUGAAGAAGGUUGGUACCAAUCAUGUGAGUAACUCUGACAAUUUUAUUGAAACCACUUGUUCUGUAAAGCUCGGAAGGAAAAGGAAAAUGCAGAGAUAGUUCACAAAAGGGGAGCUUCAAAGAGGAAAUCAAACUUAAAUGCAAAGGAUGAAGCUAAGAGAAAAAGAAAAUCAAGUCAAGGUGAUGGAAGCAGCGGUAGUACCAUUCAAAAGAAGAAGAAUAAAGGCAAUGGUCCAAUGGAUCAAGCUCGUAAGUCGUCUAGAAAGAAAUGCCGAAAUUUAGAGGAUCAUAGACGUGAUAGUACUGAUGUAAUUCCAGGUCAAGCAUCUGAUGAU